rnacentral:rRNA from 1 species
AUUGAACGCUGGCGGCAGGCCUAACACAUGCAAGUCGGACGGUAGCACAGAGGAGCUUGCUCCUCGGGUGACGAGUGGCGGACGGGUGAGUAAUGUCUGGGGAUCUGCCCGAUAGGGGGGGAUAACCACUGGAAACGGUGGCUAAUACCGCAUAACGUCGCAAGACCAAAGAGGGGGACCUUCGGGCCUCUCACUAUCGGAUGAACCCAGAUGGGAUUAGCUAGUAGGCGGGGUAAUGGCCCACCUAGGCGACGAUCCCUAGCUGGUCUGAGAGGAUGACCAGCUACACUGGAACUGAGACACGGUCCAGACUCCUACGGGAGGCAGCAGUGGGGAAUAUUGCACAAUGGGCGCAAGCCUGAUGCAGCCAUGCCGCGUGUAUGAAGAAGGCCUUCGGGUUGUAAAGUACUUUCAGCGGGGAGGAAGGCGAUAAGGUUAAUAACCUUGUCGACUGACGUUACCCGCAGAAGAAGCACCGGCUAACUCCGUGCCAGCCGCCGCAGUAA